UACAGAGGUCCCAAGCGUUGUUCGGAUUCACUGGGCGUAAAGGGUGCGUAGGUGGUGAGGUAAGUCGGAUGUGAAAUCUCCGAGCUUAACUCGGAACGGUCAACUGAUACUGUGCGGCUAGAGUGCGGAAGGGGCAACUGGAAUUCUUGGUGUAGCGGUGAAAUGCGUAGAUAUCAAGAGGAACACCUGCGGCGAAGGCGGGUUGCUGGGCCGACACUGACGCUGAGGCGCGAAAGCCAGGGGAGCGAACGGG
rnacentral:rRNA from 1 species